UCCUCACAGCCAAACAGGCCCUUAAUGUCAAAAACACAAAACCGACUUCUUCUUCAACAUUUUUUUCCAACAACAGCAAGAACCAAAUGAACCCUAGUAAUUUCCCAAAAAUCCAGAAUCAAACGAAUCCUAAGCCUUUCAAACCAAAAAAUUCAUCGAAUUUCCAGCUGUCUUCCUCCAUUUUUUGGCUACGACUCAACAGAUUUGUACGUUUUCAGUGGUUGUCUAUACAUUUUGGUACGAAUUCGUACUUCUUCACAGCUGUCCAUUUAGAAUUCAAAUUCUUAAAGGAAUUUCAGCCAAGUAAAAGUCCCACAUCGUUGGUUUAUACAAGUUUGAACAUUUUUGGGUUCUAUGAAUAGAACCUUCAUAUUGAAAAACAAAAUGGCUUUGAGAACCAAAAAAUUGGUUCUUAUACCAUUAAAUGGGUUUUUCGUAACCCUAAAAGUAAGGACACUCAGAAAUCCGGUUAACCUGUUGAAUUUCGAGGAUGUUCUCGCUCAAAUAUAAUUUUUGGAAGUGUUUCCAUUCGUCGGAAUAUGACUCGGGGAAAGGUGGUUCAUUAACUCCCGUCGCCCCCGUCGCUGCUCGUCAAAAAAGGUAACAUUCAAACCCCAUUUUAUUCCUGUCAUUCAUUUUUGCAUUAGCAUAUAAGUGUUUAUUUUGGUUUGUUUUGAGAAGAUUUAUUUUAAAAUAUGUAGCUUAAUGUUGACAGAAAAGUGGUGCUGUUUUAAGCUUUAAAGGCUGUUGGCAAUCGUUUAAGUACUGCAGUACUGUUGGUUUAACCGUUAAUAUGAUUUGUGCUUUGCUUCUCUCAUUAUGAUUAGUUUAGGUUAUUACCAAUGUAAGAACUGAUUCACAAGUCAUUUGGGGAAUGAAUUAGCAUGAAUGUUGUUUGGUAGUUAACAUACAUUUGGUUUCAAUUAAUCAUCAUGGUUGGUUUAAAUAAGUGUUCAAUGAAGUACUAGCUCGAGAUUGUGACAUGAGCAUGAGACUAGGAUGUUUAACCCGUGUGUGUCCUUGAAAGCUUCUUGUUAAACCUGAGAUGAAUGCUGCCUUAAGCCUGGAUUAUAGUUUGUUUGUGUGUCUGUUUUAAGUGUGGGUUAAUUCAAGUCUUGAGAGGUCUCCUUUUUGUUUAACUGAAGCAGGAAUCUUUAAGUGUAAAAAUAUCCCAUGAUCAUAGGUAUUAAAGGGAUUCAAACAUUGUUUUGGUGUAAACUCAUUUAGCUUGCUAGACUGUCUAUGUGUGGUUAUGAAACUAAGAUGUAGUUGAGCCCCUUUUCCUUUCUUUCUGAAAUACAAAUAGCUUAAAGUUUGGAUCUGUGGAAACCUUGUAUCGGUGUGUUUUGUUGUCACCAAACUGCUAUUAUUUGUUCAAAAGUGUUGGGAAUUCACCUCUGUUUUGGUUACAUGAUAUGACAAUACACUAGAAGUUGAUAAAUGGUUUAAAACAAGACUGCUUGGUUGCUAAAUGGGAUUCUGUGAUAAAAUAUUAAGUUUAAGUCCACACUAAGCAUCUAAUCUAAUCCCAAAGACUCUAAGAGGUUAUCACUUAAUUUUAGGGUGAGGUAAAGGGGAAAUCUUGAGUCUGUUAACAGUUUAAACAACCAGAAUAUUAUUCUUGAGUCUGUUAACAGUUUCUGGGAUCUAGCCUAAGUAGAAUUCACAAUUGGCUAAAGAGUUGGUUCUAAUGAUAAUCAUUCUUCUCUUAAACAUGAGGUUGCUUUAAAUAUAGUUAGGAAUUAUUUUGGUCCCUCUUUGUUGUAGGCUGAGUUUAAGGACCCUCAUAUCAUCAUAAUAAUUUGGUAACUCUAGCUACUGUGAUUAAGAGCUAGUUAUAGCUAGUUUGAGUUGAUGUAGAGGUAGUAUACCCUUUUCAUUUCCAGUUCAUUGUUUUUAAAUCUUGUGAAGGUGUGUAUUAUUUUUUUUGUUAUUAGUUGGUUUAGUUGCAAGUAAUUAAUUAGGUUAUGUGAUUAGUUGUUAUUACCAUUAGCCUAUUACUAAUGUUAAUCUGCUGUCACUAUCAAUAAUAUGAUUUUUUUAGAUAGCAUACUGUUGGUUUUUUUUCUUUUUUUCUUAGUGAUUAAUGUUGGUUAACUGACUAUUAGAACUAUUUAAGAAUGCAGUGCAGAGGGAAUACUAAAAAUUAAAAACAAAUCACCCUUUUGUGUCACUGUUAUGAAAUGUGAUGAGCUUUUAUGUAGUUUUAAACUCAAGUGUAUCAGUUUGGGUGGUGGAACUAAAAGUUCCCUCUCUUAUUGUGAUCAUGAGCAUAAGCUUUGUUUAGAGUUGAAUAGAGAUCUGUUUGGGUUUAGUUUUGGCCUCUCCUUGUUCUCCUUUUCUAUAUUUACGACCUAGAAUUCAAUUAGUUCUUGUGGGAUAAUAGAAUCUGUGUUUGCCUGAAGUUGGUAUACUAAACUUAAUCCUAGUCAUGCCUUAAUAACCUUUGAAGAAGUCACUAAUAGAUUGAAGUGUGAUAUGAACUUGCCAUUUUGUAUUAACUGGUUUGUAGAUAUUGCUAAGUCCUUUAAACUGAUGACAGCUCUAAAGGUCUCAAGUGAUUUCCCUCUCAAACUUCUUGUAGAAAUUCAAACCAGGCUCUCUGUUUAGCAUAGACUUAAAAUGUUGUUUGACUAAAUAUUGAGUACUCAGAUGUGUUCUCUAUUUGAAUGCCCUUUUUAGCCAUCAGUAAAUUUCUGUUUCAAGGUUUCCUAACACAAGAGUGGCUGCUUCUUUUCCUCCCUCAAGGGAAGUUUGUUUAUUUUUUCUCAAAGAUUCAUUUCUUCACUUUGGUUUUCUUCAAGACUUUAACAUUAGGAAUGUGAAUCUCCAGUAUUACUUACUGGUCUGUUUAAGGAAAGAGUGAUCAUUUAGCAUGUUUCUUUUAAGGUUUUUUCUUUAGAAUUAUGGGUUGAUUAACUUUAAGACAAAGUUGGCUUCUUCUUUACAGUAUGUUUUGAGUAUGUUAGGGCACACAAAUUGACUGGCCACACUGUUAAUUGUAGUAGGCCAUUGAUAAGUUAAUAUGGUGAUGUACCUAUUUUAAAGGAGGUUUUUAGUCUAAAAUCCUGGUCCCACUCUGUAAAACUAAGAUAAAAUAGCCAUGGUGUUUUAUGUAUACACUCAGCUCUUUGUUAGGAUAGAUUUAGGUGCUGAUCCCAUUGACUAUGUCUGUGUGUAUGAGUUCCUAACAGUCUUGUUCUGCUUGCUCAGGAUACAAAGUUUGCAAUCUGUCUUUUUUACUGUUUGGGAGCUUGGGGUUUCUAAACUAAUUUUGCUGUGCAUCUGCAUUAUCUCUUAUCUCAUUUUUGUAUACUGAAUGUCUGAGUUAGGUAGUUAUUUUUGUUGGAUAUUAGCUGAGUAGUGUAGAAAGUUUUUAAGACAGGGAGGUGUUUCUUUAAGUAUGUUAGUCAGGGGAUGGAUUCCUCAUGGGAUCUAUCUCUCUUUAAUCUUAUCAUUACUCAAAAUUUAGUCCAAAACCCUUCCCCCUUCUCCCUAGCAAACUGUCAAAUUCUUUUAACCUUUAUGAACAUAGCUAGGAGUCCUUAGCAUGAAGGAUUUUAAUCCAGUUAAGCCUUCACAAAUAUACAUUUCCUUGUAGUAGCAGCUCUCUGACUCUUGACUAACAAAUUAUUGUUGGAUCAUCUCCUUGUGUGGGUUAGCUUCUGAAAUUUUAGUUUAGUAGUAUAGGACCUGGCCUGUUCAUUAUAAACCUUGUUUAGAAAAAUGUUAAGUAAAAUGCUUGCCCAGAUGUUUCUUUUGAGAGCCAUUUACUUAUGCCUCUAAACUCGUAUAAGGAUUUGACAAAGAAUCCCUUGGUCUUCACUUUGGGAAAAUUUAGAUUUCUCAGGAGUAAUAAGUUGGCAGAUCUCAAGUUUGAUUAUAUUUGUGUUAAAGAUGGAGUUGUGUCUGCAUAAGUUUCGCCUUGAAUGUUUAUAAUUAAUAGUGUGCUAACAGUUUAAGCCCAAAGUCAAGCUCUCCUUGAAUCAGUAAAAAUUACUCUCUUAGUGAAUCUGCUAGUCUGUUUUAAGAUGCCUUGUUUGAGUAAGAGUUUUUUUUAAAAGAUUAAGUAGUUGAAAUAUCUUUCAGGUUCACUUUUUCUUGAAAGCAUACUGAGUGGGGUUAGUAUCUUUACUUGCUGGCAACUAUUCCCAAAUAGUUGACCACCAAAUAUUCUCUUAACUUAAGUUUAUUUCCAGAUUCUUAGCAUUAUGUGCUUAUGACUCUUGCAACUUGCAAAAUUUGGAUACUUUUGUGUCAUAAAGCUGUCUUAUGUGCUCAUCUACUUUAAGAACCUUGAACCUUGCCUACUAUGUCGAAACUCACCUAAGUUGGGUUCGGUUAAGCCUCUUUUGAUAGCCUGCCAUGCCCAAGGUUCGAGAAACCUUUUGAUCUUGUGCGGCAUCAAAAUAUGGAAGGUGGUAACCCCCUUCAUUUCUUAGACCUCUGAGUUUGAGAUUCUAUUGUAGUGAUUGAAAUUCUUAUGUCUUGGAGCUUGUCUCAAGGCAUAUGCCAUGUUGGGUUGAUGAGCCUGCUGCUAUGGGUUGUUUCCCUUUAGCUAUUGCUUUACUGUUAGGUCUUUGAGAUCAUCUCUGGUGCCAUGUGAGCAAAUUCAUAGCUGCAAAUGGGUGCAAGCUUGCUGCUGCAUUACUGAGACUUAUCAGCUACUGUUGAUGGGGUUGGCUGAUCCUCUUGGCAACUAUUUCUUGAGCGGCAUGUCAAGAUGAGGCAUUUGGGCUAGAACGGAAGCUAUCUUUGGGGCUGAAUUCUGUUACACUUUGGUGCUAAGCGCAGCUCAUUAACAGAUGUUACGCUUGAUGAAAAAAAACAAGCUGCUGCUAUAUUGUGCUGAUGUUGCUUUGCUGCUGCACUUACUGAACUCAAAGUGCUACGCUUUGGUGAAGUAGUUGUUGGCUUGAACCAACAGAUUCUACACUUGAUACGCUCGCUACAUUUGGGCUUGAAACUGCGGCUAUGUUUGAGACGUGUUACUGCCUUUGACAAGCUAAAUAGGCGUUCCUGAACCAGCCUGUUGCUGCACUCCUUAACCAAAUGUUACACUUGAGAAAGGAGAAUAUAGCAGCAACUAUGUUUUGAUAUAUUAUUGUUUCUGAUAAGGAGCAGAUUGCUGCAUUUAUGAUACUUCACUAAUUUGAAAAGAUAUUACAUUAGGGCCAAUGAAAAAGUAUUUAACUUGAGGCCACAUUUCAAAAGAACAAAUUUCUAUACUUGAUUUUCAUUUACUGAUUUGAGUAGAUACUUAACUUGAGAAUGCCUAGUCCGGAAAGGUUCUAUCCCUCGGUGGGCAAUGAUGAUCAUAGUCUAGUUAUAAAAUAGGAACCGACAUGCACUUGGCGAGGCAAUAGAAUGACUGACGGGUCGCUAUUUCGCAGCCAUGACCUGUUCAGGGUCCUUUUUCCCAUAUUUAAAAGAAGCAUGAUUCUGAGCCUUUCAUAAUCAAAGCUCCCACAGUUUGAUGCGAAACGAGGGAUAAUAUAUAUAUAUAUAUAUAUAUAUAUAUAUAUAUAUAUAUAUAUAUAUAUAUAUAUAUAUAUAUAUAUAUAUAUGUAUGUAUGUAUGUAUCUGUGUGUGUAUGUGUUUAUAAAUGCCACCCUCAUACUAUCAUUUCUAAUCUUGCGAGGUACAAAUAAACAAGUUCGGGAAGUACUACAAGGACGAAUAUUACACAAUUGGAGCAUACGCAUGGAAUCUAAACAAAUGGAAGGACAAAAGGAGAAGUAUCAAAAGACGAGGCGAAGACUUGGGCAUUUGGAGCUUUCAGGCGUAGAAUAAAGGAAGAACGGAAUUACAACUAAAAGUCCAAGAAGUCGAGGAGAUAGGCUUGUCCGAUUAACCUUUCUCCACCUUCAUGCUCUCCCUCCCUUUAGUUAUUUUGAAAAUAUUUUGUUUACUUGUUUUAUUUAAGUAUCGUUGGAACCUUUAUAGAUUAGAACUUAAGAUUAAUUCCAAAUUUAGAGUUGCCAAAACAGAUUUUUUAAAGCCUUGAAUAAAACAGAUAUGAAAUACUAAUUAUUCUUAAUGAAAGUUUGUUUAUUCAUAAUUUGACUCUAAAAUAAGGUUGAUGCAUUAACUUUAGGAGUUUGAACAUAAAUGACUUAGAUUUAAGAAUUAAAUUGAAUUUAAGGAAGAAUAAGGGAUUGAAAUAGAAUAAGGUAAAUUGACGGGAUUUAUAGCAAUAUGCCUUAAUAAAAGGAGACCUUUACUUAAAAAAAAUAAGAGAUUGUCCAAAAUACUUUUAAAGGGUGGGCUUAUGUGGUGUUGUACUUAAGUUAAGUGCCUUCAGGUCUUAACCUAGGUGUCCAAGUCCGAAACCCACAUGUGAUAUUUUUGCAUGAAUUAUGACUAACCUUAUUGUAGAAAUCUAGACUUAAGCGAUUUUUAUCUAAAAAAACUUAUUAUCAUAAGACACACUAUUAGAACCCGUAGGUAAACCGCAAUUAAGCGAAUCCUUAAUAUCGGGGUGCCAAACACCUUCCCCGGGGAUCAGCAGAACCCUUACUCAGAUUUUGGUAGAUUAGGUUUCUUUUAAAUAAAAAUUAGGUGGCGACUCUAAAAUGUAUCAUUUAGAGCACCAUUAAGUAGUUGGUGCGUUUUUUCGAGGCAUGUGCGAGUCGUUAAACUUUAAAAUCCCAACGCCCGCUAUAUAAGCAUUGAGUCAGAUAGAGUAUUCUAUGGCUUUCCCCUUACUAUGUUUAUCAAUUCAGUUUCAGCUUUCAGUUAUUCAGUUGCCUUAGAUACUCAGUACAUUAUUUCGUACUGACAUUCCUUUUGCUGGGGGCGCUACAUUUCAUGCCGUCAGGUUCUGAUAAACAGUCGGAUAGACCACCCCAGUAGACAGAGCCAGACAUCAGCUUGAUUGGUAAGCUCCAUUUCAUCUGGAAUUACAAGGUCCAGAUUUUGGGGUCCUUCAUGCAUGUAUAGACUUGAUGGACGUUCAUGGCGGCCUCGUCAGCCUACACAGUUAUGUAUAUAUGCUUUUGGGUGUAGUUUCCCUUCAGAUGAGAUAGAUGUUAUUCUUAGAUGAUUCAGAAUAUGGCCUUGUCAGCCUUGAUUGGUA